GCUUAACACAUGCAAGUCGAGCGAUCGGCCCUGGAGGGGUAACCCUCCUUGGUACGGAGCGGCGAACGGGUGAGUAACACGUGGGCGACCUGCCCCUGACUCUGGGACAACCCCGGGAAACCGGCGCUAAUACCGGAUACGACCAGGCGCGACAUCUCGCCUGGUGGAAAGAAUUUCGGUGAGGGAUGGGCCCGCGGCCUAUCAGCUUGUUGGUGGGGUAACGGCCCACCAAGGCGACGACGGGUAGCCGGCCUGAGAGGGCGACCGGCCACACUGGGACUGGGACACGGCCCAGACUCCUACGGGAGGCAGCAGUGGGGAAUAUUGCGCAAUGGGCGAAAGCCUGACGCAGCGACGCAGCGUGAGGGACGAAGGCCUUCGGGUUGUAAACCUCUUUCAGCGGGGACGAAGCGAAAGUGACGGUACCCGCAGAAGAAGCACCGGCUAACUACGUGCCAGCCGCCGCGGUAACAC
rnacentral:rRNA from 1 species